GAUUAUGAGUUGAGUUGAGUUGG
rnacentral:siRNA from 1 species